rnacentral:rRNA from 1 species
GACGAACGCUGGCGGCGUGCUUAACACAUGCAAGUCGAACGGAAAGGCCCUUCGGGGUACUCGAGUGGCGAACGGGUGAGUAACACAUGGGUGAUCUGCCCUGCACUUUGGGAUAAGCCUGGGAAACUGGGUCUAAUACCGAAUAGGACCACGCGCUUCAUGGUGUGUGGUGGAAAGCUUUUGCGGUGUGGGAUGGGCCCGCGGCCUAUCAGCUUGUUGGUGGGGUAAUGGCCCACCAAGGCGACGACGGGUAGCCGGCCUGAGAGGGUGACCGGCCACACUGGGACUGAGAUACGGCCCAGACUCCUACGGGAGGCAGCAGUGGGGAAUAUUGCACAAUGGGCGCAAGCCUGAUGCAGCGACGCCGCGUGAGGGAUGACGGCCUUCGGGUUGUAAACCUCUUUCAAUAGGGACGAAGCGCAAGUGACGGUACCUAUAGAAGAAGCACCGGCCAACUACGUG